UAUGACUCUUGUAAUACAUUAAAAGAACCCUAAAAUAAAAUAGAGGAAAACCUUAGAAGCCAAGAGUGCAAUCCUUGGUGUCCUAGCGAAAACAGUGGCUGCUGUGGCUUGGGAUGAUGGAGAGUGGUGGCAUCAACGGGGUUGGGAGAGACGAGAUCUCCCCAUUAGAAGAGGAACUUACUCAACUAUCGGUCAAAAGCUCGACGGUGGAGCCAAACGAUAAACCUCCUCUGAUCUGUUCUGUUUGGACAAAUAAAUCUUAUAAUCAUGAUAGUUUUAAAGCACAGAUGAAAAGUAUCUGGAAAACGAAGGAAAAGUUUGAGAUCCAAUUGGUGGGGCAAAAUCUUUUUUUGAUAACGUUUGAAUCAGAGGAUGAUUUAGAAUCUGUGAUGGAAGGCCAACCAUGGUUGUUUAGGAAGAAUUUAAUUAUUUUUGACCGGACUUUUAAGCCGACAACGAGAGACCAAUUUACGCUUGUUUCAUCUCUGUUUUGGAUUAAAAGUGGACCCUGUUUACCAGAGUUUGAUAAAAAGGAUCUUCUGCAUGCUGUAGGGGUCACGUUCGGUGGAGUGAUCAGAUCUGAAAUUAGCGGUGAGUUUUGUCGCCUUAGAAUACAACUCAAUGUGCAAAAACCACUUCGUAGAGGUAUAUUUGUGUCAACAGGGAAUGGGAAUAAAUGCUGGAUCCCUUUCAAGUAUGAAAAAUUGCCAACCUUCUGUUUUGGAUGUGGAAAACUGGGGCAUGGUCUCCAAGACUGUUUACACCUGCGGAGAAAAUUAGAAUUAGAGAGGAUCCACCUUACUCUUUGGCAUUAAAAGCAGAAUUAAAUUUGAUUGGGAAGGAGAGUCUGAAGUUUAAUGAUUUAUCAAAAAAAAUUACAAGUGCAAUGUUCGUAUACAGGAGUUGUAAACAGUGAACAAAGGAGCGAUAUGAUGGAAGGAGUACAGGAGCAUGCUUGGCUGGAAACUUUAGAAGCAGGAUUACAGAUACAACAGAAUGAAGAAACAAAUGGAAAAACCACAAAAAAUAGAAACGCAAAUUUAUUGAAGCAGGUCAUGGAAGCUAGGUUGAAAAGAGUUGAACAAAUAGAAGUGAUGAGACAGUAUGAGGCAGAGAGUAAGCUACAGAAACGAAAAUGGAAAGAGCUGGUACAGGAGGAUUACGGUGUAAAUGGGAAACAGGAAGGAGCAAUUAAAAGGAUGAAAUUUGGCGAUCAAGACUUAACACAGGAGACGGAUAUCAAUUUUCCAGUUGAAUCACCAAACCAGAAUGAAUCGGCGGCUGCCAAAAGGCAAGCCGACCGGUCGCAAUGAGAAGGCUUCGGUUUUUACUGAAGCAAAAUAAUCCUCAAUUGGUCUUCCUCGUGGAGACUAGGGUUAGUGGAAAGCGAAUGGAGAAAAUUAGGAGGAGGUGUGGGUUUAUGAAUAGGAUAGAUGUAGAUGCAACAGGUUCGCGGUGAGGCAUUUGCCUAGCAUGGAAAGAGGCGGUUCAAGUUGAGCUCAAAACUUUCUCAACCAUAUAGAUGUGCUGAUCGAAGAAGGAGCUAGUAAAGAGUGGAGAUUCACCGGCUUUUAUGGAUCCCCUUACAGAAUAAAAAUGCUUCAUGGGAUCUAUUAAGAUAUUUAGGACAGGAACAAGAGCAUCCUUGGUUGGUAAGUGGAGAUUUCAAUGUAAUUGCUUAUUCCUUUGAAAAAAUGGGAGGUCAACUGAGGGAGGAGAAAAGGAUGGAAGUGUUCCUUGAAGUUCUAAAAGAAUGCUCUCGUAUUGAUGUGGGAUACUCGGGUAAAUGGUAUACAUGGGAAAGGGGAAAUUUACCGGAAACAAAUAUUAGAGAAAGACUUGAUAGGAGUGUAACAAAUGAAAAAUGGAUGGAAUUUUUUCCAACAGGCAAUGUACACCACUUAACGUCUUCAUUUUCGGAUCAUUGUCCUCUUUUAAUUAGUACCAGUACUGAAAGUAAUUUGAAGAGAAUCCCAGUUUUUAAAUUUGAAGCAUGUUGGACUACAUAGAAAACGAUUGAAGAUGAGAUAAAGAGUUCAUGGGAAUCAUCAAAUGGAUCCAUUUCUGAAAAGAUAGAAAGAUUACAGACCAAUCUGACAAGAUGGGCCAACUCAAUAAAGGAAAAAAAGGGGGAUUGACCGGAAAACUUACAAAAGAGCUUGAACGAUUAUUGGAGGAUGAACGAAAUGAGGAUACAAUGGCGCAAAUUAUUGACAAGAGAAUACAUCUGAAUAUGGAGAUUGACAAAGAAGAAAUAUACUGGGAGCAAAGAGCACGGGCUAACUGACUUAAGCUGGGGGAUAAAAAUACAGCUUUCAUCCACAAAUAUGCCUCAAUGCUAAAACAAAUCAACACAAUUAGCAGGUUGUAUACAGAUGAUGGGGAGGGGAUCUAUGAGGAAUCAGAAAUAAAUGCAAGUGCAACAAAGUAUCUAAUCGCAUAGGAGACCAAUCUCAUCUUCUAUCAGGUAUCAACAACAACAUUUCUUCAGAUAUUAACAUAGCCCUUUUAGAAAAGUUUUCGGAAGAAGAGAACUUUAGUGUAGUAAAAAGUAUGGGACCUACCAAAGCACCUGGUUAUGUUGGUUUUUCGGUAUUAUUUUUUCAAAAAUACUGGGAUAUUGUGGGUAACGAUGUUGGGAAGUUUUGUUUGGAGUUUCUGAACAAUGGAAAGGAUAUUGAAGAUCUAAAUUUAACAGAGAUUGUUCUCAUUCCGAAGUAUUCCAAUCCUACCAAUCUCGCCAAUUUCAGACCCAUUAGCUUAUGCACAGUAGUAUAUAAAAUCAUAGCCAAAUCUAUUGCCAAUCGUAUGCAGGCAGUUAUUGGAAGAUGUAUUGAUAGUGCUCAAAGUGCUUUUGUUACUGGGAGGCUUAUUUCGGAUAAUAUCUUAAUAGCCUAUGAAGUUUUACACACACUUCGUCAAAGGCAUAACGGGAAAUAAGGUCUCAUGGCGUUAAAGUUAGAUAUGAGUAAAGCUUAUGAUAGAGUCAAAUGGGGUUUUUUUGAAGGCAGUUAUGGUUAGCAUGGGAUUUACAGAGGAAUGGGUAUUAAUAAUUAUGCGAUGUAUCUCUACAAUAUCUUAUGUAGUUUCCAUAAAUGGUAAAAGAGGCAAAGUUUUUAAACCUACCAGAGGACUUCGACAAGGUAAUCCGCUUAGUCCUUUCCUUUUUCUUAUUUGCAGCGAAGGACUUUCGUCUUUGAUCAGUAUCGCAACACGAGAAGGGCUGAUAAAAGGAGUAAAGGCCAACAGAAGAGGUCCGACAAUUUCACACUUAUUAUUUGCAGACGACUGCAUAUUGUUUGGUGAAUUAACUAAAGACAGAAUAAGAAUCUUCAAGGAGAUUUUGAAGGAAUAUGAGAUUAGUUCUGGUCAAUGUGUGAACUUUAACAAGUCCUCAAUUUUUUUUGGUUCAAAUACGACAGAAGCAGAUAAAGUUAGAAUAUCGACUGAAUUGGGGAUAAGGUGCUCGACUAAUAUAGAAAAGAAUCUUGGACUGCCAAGCAUGGUAGGAAGAAAGAAGGAAGCCUUUCAAAAUCUAAAGGACAGAAUUAAACAGAAGAUAGAUAAUUGGAGUACACGUUUCUUAUCUCAAGGAGGCAAAGAAGUUGUCAUUAAAGCAGUACUUCAAGCAAUCCCUAUUUAUGCGAUAGCAUGUUUUUUGCUACCAAAAUCUUUCUGUGAGGAGAUAGAAAAACUGUUUGCCAGAUUCUGGUGGCAAAAAGGAAAAGGCAAAAAAGGGAUACAUUGGUGCCAAUGGGAAUGUAUGUGUAAGCCUAAAGAGGAGGGAGGUAUGGGUUUCCAAAAUAUGGCGCAAUUCAAUAUCUCAUUAUUGGCUAAACAAGGAUGGCGGAUUAUGAAUAAUCAGGGUUCUAUUGUUGCGCAAGUUUUUAAAGCCAAAUACUUUCCUGAAAAUGAUUUUUUAAACUCCCAGUUAGGAAACUCUUGUUCUUAUGUAUGGAAAAGUGUUUGGGCAGCCAAAGCCUUAUUGAUAACAGGGCACUGUUGGAAGGUGAGAACGGGUUCUAGUGUCACGGACCGCAGUUCAAAGCCCGUGACAAGCGCACCAAAUACAUCCAAUGGAGGUCUGUUGCUCAGAUGGGGAUCAUUUGGCCUACGAGAACUGGCCCGAUUCAAAGAGCUGUUGGACAGACCUGUCACAUUGAAGCCUGAUGGGCCCGAUAAUGAAGAUAGGACUAAGUAGUCUUAGAAGUUCUAAUUGUACACAGCUUCUAAUUCUGUAAAGUUAGAGUCCUAAUUGAAUACAGCUUUUAAUUGUAGCCAUCGGUUUUGGGGGAGCUCAACUAUAAAUAGAGAGCCUCCCCCUCAUUUGUACUCACUCCUGUAAUUGUUUCAUUAUUCUGUGUGAAUAAGAAUUGAGAGCAUUUACUCAAACUUUUCUCUCAAGCGUUCUUGCUUUUGUUCAUCUUUCAAAGAUCGUUCUUAAUUCGUUCUUCCGCUGUUCUUCAUGGAAACUUUAAGGGAAUUCUGUUGAAUCCUUUAUUGUUGCGAGUUGAGCUGACUUAGGCGUUUUUACGGUUGAAUCCAUUAUUGGUGGAAGUUAGGCUGACUUAGGCGUUUUUAAGCCAAGAAACUGCCUAAGGCCGCACGGAUGUGUGGGAAAACUCCAAGUCCGUGACAAGUGGUAUCCGAGCCAAGGGUUGAACCAAGUGAUAUCUAAGUUGUUGGUUCAAAGGCACCGUUAGGAUGUCGAGAGAAGAGUUCGAACAAAGGUGGGCGAGGAAGUCUUUGAAGGAGACAAUAUCGGCAGUAGAGGAAUGUGUGGGUAAACUCGAGGAUCCAUGGAGGAUGUAAAGGAGGCACUCGAUGGGGUCGAGGAUCACAUAGCAAACUGGAAGGAGCAGUCCAGAGACUAUGUAAAGAUGUCUCUUGGUUCCACCAUGGACAAGGUAAACGAGUUAUUUAAUUCACACAGGGAUAAGCUGUCGGAAAGGAAUGAUGCUCUCGAGGCCAUAAUGAUGGCUUUGAAGGAGGAAACAAUGGCCACGACGAGGGCUUUGAGCACAAGAAUAGAGGAGCUCGAGGGAGAGCUAGCCUUGUGUCAAGCAGCCGUGGGGAAAAGAGUGGCAAAUGCAGCACUCAGUAAUGAGGAUGUCCCAAAGCCGAAAGAGUUUGUGGGGACAAGGUCUGCAUGUGACGUGGACAAUUUCUUGUGGAGGAUGGAAAACUACUUCCGUGCCAAAGGCAUCAUGGAGGAUGCGGUUAAGGUAAACACUGCUUCAAUGUUUCUUACUGACAUUGCGCUUUUAUGGUGGCGAGGUAGGACCACAGAUAAAAGGCAAGGUGAGAUUGGGACGUGGCAAGAGUUCCAAUGCGAGUUGAAGGGACAGUUUUACCCAGAAUUUGCCGAGGAAGAAGCUCGGGCAAAGUUGCAAGAGAUAAUGCAACGGGGCACAGUGAGGGAGUAUGUUCAAGAGUUCAAGGAACUCAUGCUCCAAAUUUCAGAUGUGACCGAUGAAGCAUUGCUUGCUUUUCAAAAGGGAUUGAAGCCGUGGGUUAGACAGGAGGUGGAACAAAGAGGUGUCCAAAAACUGUCGGAAGCCAUGACGGUAGUUGAGUCCGUGGUGAAGCUUGGUCUAGGGAAAGACAAGCUUGGGUCUUCCAAGUCCGAUGGAAGGGGCGUAUGUGAAAUGGAUCACAAGGAAGAUAGAGUUAAUGGCAAUGACAACGGCGAAAAUGGUGGUAAUGGGAAACCACGAGUUGGGAAGAAGAAACCCAAGAGGAAAAGGGACAAGCUAAAAUGCUUUCUCUGCGACGGUCCACACAUGUUGAAAAAAUGUUUGAAGAAAUCCGCGCUUAAGGAGAAGCCGGUAGGUAAGGCCUUGGUACUUGGUUCGAGCGCAAGGGGUGUCGAAGCCAAGGAGGCCGAAAGUGAGAAGAAGCCAGUGGAGUGCUUCUUGUGUCAUGGUCCGCAUAAGUUGCGGAAGUGUCCGAAGAAGUCUGUCAUCGAGGGGAACGAUGGAGCAGACAAUGAGCCCAAGAAGCUUGGUUCGAGCAAGGGAAAAGCCAAAGCCAAGAGGGCAAAGAUGAGCAAAAAGAAGCAAGUUAAGUGCUUCUUGUGCCGUGGUCCGCAUGAGUUGCGGAACUGUCCAAAGCAAGCUGGAGUCGAAAGAAACGCAACGUCUGAGCUUCGUGAGUCGUCGAAGAGGCUUCCACCCAAGGAAGAUGUGAGUUUGUCAUCUAACUUAGCGGAUAAAGUUGCGAUGAAAACAGUGAAGCUGGGACCAAUGAGACUCAAGUUGAGUGAAGUAUCAGAGUUAGCCGAGUCAUCGACAAGGCUUCCACCUAUGGGAAAGGUAGGUGGUGCAUCAGACUUUAAAGGAAAAGAAGCGAUGCAUGUGGGACAGUUGACCAGAGUAAAUGCGACGAGUAGGACGGCUCGAGUUAAGAAGCGACAAAAGCCGAGGCAAGAAUCCCAAAGAAAGGGAAAGGCUAAGGCGACGAGACGAGACCGAGGCGAAUCAAGUCAGUGCCAUUCAGAAGUCGCAACGAGGGCGUUGCGAGAAUGGGUGGGGGAGAAUGUCACGGACCGCAGUUCAAAGCCCGUGACAAGCGCACUAAAUGCAUCCAAUGGAGGUCUGUUGCUCAGAUGGGGAUAAUUUGGCCUACGAGAACUGGCCCGAUUCAAAGAGCUGUUGGACAGGCCUGUCACAUUGAAGCCUGAUGGGCCCGAUAAUGAAGAUAGGACUAAGUAGUCUUAGAAGUUCUAAUUGUACACAGCUUCUAAUUCUGUAAAGUUAGAGUCCUAAUUGAAUACAGCUUUUAAUUGUAGCCAUCGGUUUUGGGGGAGCUCAACUAUAAAUAGAGAGCCUCCCCCUCAUUUGUACUCACUCCUGUAAUUGUUUCAUUAUUCUGUGUGAAUAAGAAUUGAGAGCAUUUACUCAAACUUUUCUCUCAAGCGUUCUUGCUUUUGUUCAUCUUUCAAAGAUCGUUCUUAAUUCGUUCUUUCGCUGUUCUUCAUGGAAACUUUAAGGAAAUUCUGUUGAAUCCUUUAUUGUUGCGAGUUGAGCUGACUUAGGCGUUUUUACGGUUGAAUCCAUUAUUGGUGGAAGUUAGGCUGACUUAGGCGUUUUUAAGCCAAGAAACUGCCUAAGGCCGCACGGAUGUGUGAGAAAACUCCAAGUCCGUGACACUAGGAUAUCCAUUACUGAUGCUUGGAUUCCAGAUUCUGAUAAUUUUAAAUUGUCGUCAGGAGUUAAUUCUAUGCUCGUUUCUAAAGUAAAGGAGUUAAUCGACAGUAAUAGUAGAAGCUGGAAUGCAAAGUUGAUUAACAAUACCUUCACUGAAGCAGAUGCUGAAAGAAUUCUCAGGAUCCCGCUGGCACGAUCACCGCAUGAAGAUUUUCUUAUUUGGGGAGGGGAGAAGUCGGGUGAAUUCACGGUACGAAGUGCCUAUCAACUAUUACAGAGAUCGACUGAUAAUCCUAGAGCUUAUGCUUUACAAAACCUCUACAGAAAAUUUUACAAAACACUUUAGAGCCUGAAUAUACCAACAAAAAUAAAGAUCACAAUAUGGCGGCUAUCAUGGAACUAUCUGCCUACAAAGGUAAAUCUACAACACCGAAAAUUAGCAGUCAACACAAGGUGUCCCCGAUGUGGAGAAGGAGCUAAAACGAUGAAUCACUUAUUCCGUGACUGUGCUGUUACAAGAGAGGUAUGGAAAACGUUAUCAUUUCAGAACAUUAUGAUGUAUCAAAGCGAGGAUUUUGUACAAUGGCUCACCUGGGCGCUAGAGCAGUUAAACCCAAAUCAAAGUCGACUCUUUUGCUGUGCACUAUGGGCCAUAUGGGGAGACAGAGACAGAAACAGAAACAUACAUGAAGGCAAAGUUAGUAAUGGAAUAGAUGUUGCAAACUUUGUUAGUAAUUACAUCAUUGAGUUAACUGGUCUUGAACAAAUAAACUCAGAAAUAAUGAAAGGAAAUAAGAGAUGGACACACCCACAGUGGGAAUCCAUAAAGAUUAAUUUUGAUGGUGCAUAUAAUCAGAUUCAGAACCGGUCAGCCUCAGGUGUUGUGGCCAGAGACUCGGAAGGAAAAAUUCUUUUAUCCUGCUCAGAAAUCCACAAUGGAGUUCCAUCUGCUUUUGCUGCUGAAGCAAUUGCCUGUAGGAAAGCAGUCCAAGUAGGAGUUGACCAUGGUUGGCAGGCACUCAUUUUUGAAGGAGAUUCCCUCGCAAUAAUCAAGAAAUGCAACAAAAAUGAUCAUGACAGAUCAAUGGUAGGGGCAUAUAUUUAUGAUAUACAACAGAAAAUACUAGAAGUUAAAAAUAUCAGAUUUCUUCACACACCAAGAUCUGCAAACAACCUUGCACAUAUCCUUGCAACAGAGAUGCUAAGAAGAGGAGAGGAAUUUUACCUGGAAAUGGGCGUUUCUGAUUAUGCAGAGACCCAAGCACGGCAUGAUAAGCUGAGCGAACCAGAUUAGGGAAGCAUCGAGAGAUGGAGUUUGGAAGAGAGAAAGUUUUCAGAGCAAUAAAGAAACAGAAAUGAUCUGCUAGACAAUUUUGAAAUAUGGAAUCGUCAAAAGGAGAUUGAAAUGACAGGGUGAGGCGAUGACAAAUUUCAGUAGCUUCUGAUUGGACAACGGAUCGGCGCAUUAAUUGCUGGUUCUAGAGUUUUCUUUUAAUAUCUAGAUAUUUUAGGUGAGGGCACCUGUUUCUGGGCCGAGUACUUUGUGCCCGUUUCUUUUUUUGACUUUUGCUUUAGUUUGUUUGUUUUGGACUAUUCCAAAUAGUUUGAAUGUUUUAAUCAAUAAAAGCCCAAUCUGGAAUUUCAAAAAAAAAAUUAUAUUAUAUAGUAUUAUAUAUUAUGAUUUUAUUAAAU
rnacentral:lncRNA from 1 species